UCUAAUGGUCUUCACACUUUUAAUAUAUUAUAGAUUAUAGAUGUAUAAGGUAUAAGUAUGAUAUUAUUGAAAUGCUUUUAAAAAAUUGGAAUUAUAAUUCUUAGUAAUACGAGUAUAUGCAAGUUUGAAAACAACCAAACUAUGAUUAUCAAUUUAUCAUAUUGCAAAACCGCAAAUACAAACUUUAAAAUACUGAAUGACACCAAAUUAAUUUGGUGCAAAAAUGAUAUUUUAAAAAAUCAAAACUCAAAAAUUUCAAUAUUAGACCAUAACCUCAUCAUGCCCGUCCCUAUUCCUCUUGUAUCAAACUUUAUGAUUAUCAAUUUAUCAUAUUGCAAAACCGCAAAUACAAACUUUAAAAUACUGAAUGACGCCAAAUUAAUUUGGUGCAAUAAUGAUAUUUUAAAAAAUCAAAAAUCAAAAAUUUCAAUAUUAUACCAUAACCUCAUCAUGCGUGUCCCUAUUCCUCUUGUAUCACUGUGAGAGAAGAAAGAGUUGUUUGGAUGAUAAGCAUCUUUUUCUUCAACCUCGAGCUAGGAUUGUGAGUUCGAAUCACCAAGGGAAUAAAAAUAUGAAAGCUUUUACAGAAAUUUUUUAAAAAUUACUAUGAAGAAAAAAUAUAUUUUAAAAUAUUACAUUAAUAUUCAAAUAGUGAAAGAUAACAAAUAUUUUGGGACGGAGGUAAUAGUUAAAUACUGAAAAGCUGAAUUUGAAAAUCGUCAAUCUCAUUCCUUUUUGUGUUUUCUGCAAAAACCCAUCAAAUUAAACAAACACUAAUAAAAACUUGAAAAAAAAUUGAAUAUUUGCUACAACUCUUUAAAACGUCAAUGCAAUUAAUUAGGAAAAAAAUAUCGUUUUUAUCCCAAACUAUACAAGAAAAGUCUAAGCCACACCUAAACUAUCGAAGUGACCUAUUACACACCUAAACGAUAUAAAAGUGAUAUUAUUAUCUUUCUGCGACACUCAUUCUAAGGCGCGUUUCUUACACUCGUUUUAGGCGCAUCCAGCAUUUUGAAUAACAAAAGUAAACGGUUAAGAACAUUAAAAGUACAUCACUUUUAAAUUUCAACGGAUCUAUUCUUAUUUAAGCCAAUUUGAGGCUAAAAACUACGAACCCUAAUUCCCAAAUUUGUCUUUCAAAAUCGAAAUUGAAGAUCAUUUGUUUGAAGAAUUGGUAACUAAAUCUUUUUAAUAUUUUGAUUUCUUACUAUAUUGAUGAUUAUUUUGUCUUAAUUUUGUUGCAAUUUUGAUAAUUUUUUCUUCCAUCAAGUGUUUGUUCAACCUCUCUUAAAAUUUAUUUUCUUAAUCAAGGUACUUUAAUGGCUAAGAUAAGUUUGAGUAGACUUUGUAAGCAAGAAGAAGAGCAUGAGUUGGAUGAGGUUCGAUGCAAACAUGGACAUCUUUUGUCUUUGAUGAUUUCAUGGACCUAAAGAAAUUCGGGUAGACGAUAUUGGACUUGUCCUUGCUCUGGGAAUGCUAGAUCAUGCGAUUUUUGUCUUUGGAAGAAUGAUUUUAUUAAUGAAUGAUCCAAAUUUGUUAUUCCUAAAUUGUUGGGAAGAAUCGAGGAGCUUGAGAAAAGAGUUGAAUCUUCGACAAACUGUGCAUUUUAUGAACACAAAAUGGUUGAUGACAAGACUACUAGGAUAACCAAGUCUGUGGAGAACAAAAUAGACAUGAAUAAAAUACAGUUGCAAAUGGACAAUUUUCAGGAUGAUUUGAAGAUGAUGAAGGCAAAUGAGAAGAAAUGGAAGAUCAAGUUGGCUAAUUCUAAGAAAAGGAAAAAAACAACUUUGGACUACUCUCAUUUGUGUAUGUAUUUUGGGUGUUAGUUUUCUAUUUCAAUUCAUGUUCUUGAAAGGAGAUCCAAGAAGGCUGCCCUAAACUAAGUUACUUUAUUUUUGUUAUGUUUUAAGAGGCUGCAAUUUGUAUCAAUUAUUAGAUGUUACCUUAGACAAAACUGUCAGGUUGUGUAAUUAAAUUGUUGUGUAAUGAAAUUGCAAAGUUGAACUUGAUA